rnacentral:rRNA from 1 species
GCCGAGGACAAGCUUCUUUGCGAGUGUUGUUGAGACAUUGGACAAGACCCCAAGACAGGCGCCGAACAAAAGCAUUCAACCUUUUGGAUUCGUGUCCACGAGUUUCAUGAGCACAAUAAGUUCAUGCCUUACCAAAUUGUGAGCACGCGCGGGUGGGUGUCCAUUUCCAAGCGAUGGAGGGUAAUCCAACAAGAGUGCAACAAGUUUUGUGCCACUCUUGAGAGCGUCAAGGCCCGCCCCGUGAGCAGCAUCAGCAUGCAAGACAUGAUAUGCUAG